AUACGGAGGGGGCUAGCGUUGUUCGGAAUUACUGGGCGUAAAGCGCGCGUAGGCGGCCGAUCAAGUCGGGGGUGAAAGCCCGGGGCUCAACCCCGGAACGGCCCUCGAAACUGCUUGGCUCGAGACCGGGAGAGGAGAGUGGAAUUCCCAGUGUAGAGGUGAAAUUCGUAGAUAUUGGGAAGAACACCAGUGGCGAAGGCGGCUCUCUGGACCGGACCUGACGCUGAGGCGCGAAAGCGUGGGGAGCAAACAGGAUUAGAUACCCCAGUAGUCC
rnacentral:rRNA from 1 species